rnacentral:rRNA from 1 species
UACGGGGGGAGCAAGCGUUGUUCGGAUUUACUGGGCGUAAAGGGCGCGUAGGCGGCCAGCACAAGUCAGUUGUGAAAUCUCCGAGCUUAACUCGGAAAGGUCAACUGAUACUGCGGGGCUAGAGUGCGGAAGGGGCAACUGGAAUUCUCGGUGUAGCGGUGAAAUGCGUAGAUAUCGAGAGGAACACCUGCGGCGAAGGCGGGUUGCUGGGCUGACACUGACGCUGAGGCGCGAAAGCUAGGGGAGCGAACGGG